UAGGUGGUUACGGGGGGGCGGGGGGGGGGGGGGGGGGGGGGGGGGGGGGGGGGGGGGGGGGGGGGGGGGGGGGGGGGGGGGGGGGGGGGGGGGGGGGGGGGGGGGGGGGGGGGGGGGGGGGGGGGGGGGGGGGGGGGGGGGGGGGGGGGGGGGGGGGGGGGGGGGGGGGGGGGGGGGGGGGGGGGGGGGGGGGGGGGGGGGGGGGGGGGGGGGGGGGGGGGGGGGGGGGGGGGGGGGGGGGGGGGGGGGGGGGGGGGGGGGGGGGGGGGGGGGGGGGGGGGGGGGGGGGGGGGGGGGGGGGGGGGGGGGGGGGGGGGGGGGGGGGGGGGGGGGGGGGGGGGGGGGGGGGGGGGGGGGGGGGGGGGGGGGGGGGGGGGGGGGGGGGGGGGGGGGGGGGGGGGGGGGGGGGGGGGGGGGGGGGGGGGGGGGGGGGGGGGGGGGGGGGGGGGGGGGGGGGGGGGGGGGGGGGGGGGGGGGGGGGGGGGGGGGGGGGGGGGGGGGGGGGGGGGGGGGGGGGGGGGGGGGGGGGGGGGGGGGGGGGGGGGGGGGGGGGGGGGGGGGGGGGGGGGGGGGGGGGGGGGGGGGGGGGGGGGGGGGGGGGGGGGGGGGGGGGGGGGGGGGGGGGGGGGGGGGGGGGGGGGGGGGGGGGGGGGGGGGGGGGGGGGGGGGGGGGGGGGGGGGGGGGGGGGGGGGGGGGGGGGGGGGGGGGGGGGGGGGGGGGGGGGGGGGGGGGGGGGGGGGGGGGGGGGGGGGGGGGGGGGGGGGGGGGGGGGGGGGGGGGGGGGGGGGGGGGGGGGGGGGGGGGGGGGGGGGGGGGGGGGGGGGGGGGGGGGGGGGGGGGGGGGGGGGGGGGGGGGGGGGGGGGGGGGGGGGGGGGGGGGGGGGGGGGGGGGGGGGGGGGGGGGGGGGGGGGGGGGGGGGGGGGGGGGGGGGGGGGGGGGGGGGGGGGGGGGGGGGGGGGGGGGGGGGGGGGGGGGGGGGGGGGGGGGGGGGGGGGGGGGGGGGGGGGGGGGGGGGGGGGGGGGGGGGGGGGGGGGGGGGGGGGGGGGGGGGGGGGGGGGGGGGGGGGGGGGGGGGGGGGGGGGGGGGGGGGGGGGGGGGGGGGGGGGGGGGGGGGGGGGGGGGGGGGGGGGGGGGGGGGGGGGGGGGGGGGGGGGGGGGGGGGGGGGGGGGGGGGGGGGGGGGGGGGGGGGGGGGGGGGGGGGGGGGGGGGGGGGGGGGGGGGGGGGGGAUAGAAACAUGUCAUGUUUAAAAAAUGCAUGUUUACAUAGUAUUGCAGCUCAAGAGGAAUUGGGGGGGGUUCAUUUUUUU
rnacentral:lncRNA from 1 species